UGAAUCACAGUCACAAUAGUGAAAACUACAAAACAUCUAAAUGCACUUUGAUAUCAAAUUCAUGUGAACUUUGGAAUAAAUGUUCUUAACUGCCACAAUUGGGGGAAAAAAAGUCAUAAUUGUUCUAAAAUAAAAAUAUAAAUAAAUAAGAUUUUGGGGAGAAAUACUGUAUGACAGCACAACUCAAAUCCCAACCACCCAAUCUGUUACCUGUUGAGAGUCUGACCUGAAUGUGUGCAUAUGUGCGCACACACACACAAACACACACACACACACACACACACACACACACACACACACACUGAAUGAUUUGUUUAUUAUGUUUUAUGGCAGGAAAUAUCAUGAGACCCAGGCAGAGGAAUGUCAUGAAGCUAAAGCAAAUACAAGCAGUAAAGGUGUGUAAGUGACUGACGCACGAGCUCCCAGCAGCCCUUGCACCAUGUUUACCAAUUCAGAGGUGGGACAGAUGACCAAUACUGGCAUUUCCACUGAUAACAGCGAUUUUCUCCCGCCAAUAACACGCGUGACAGAAGUAAUCAGUCAAAGAGGAAACGAGGUUUCGGUCUGACAGCUGCAGACUCCCACAAACACUUCCCGGGGUCAAAGGUCACACGGAGCAAAGUAAGAGUGAAAAACUGAAGCGUAGCCACAUCAUUGUUCUACCUCUCCUGCUUCAGCAAAGCUGCGUGCUGAGGGACAGGAUCAGGACGCAGGGAUCACUGGGAAUAAAUCUGCUUUCUUUAACCACUUACACAACACUGCAGUCCGAUCUACAACAAACGAUUACAAGAUACUCUAGAUGGAUUCCACACACUUCAGCACUGGUCACUUCAUAGACACCCAUCAGUGAAUAUUUGUGAGGUGAGCAUAAGCACACAACGCUCAAACACUUCCAAACACCAAAACACACGUCUGCUAGAGACUCCCACAAGACUGAUGAAGCGGAGGAACACAGCAUGAUUUCAAGAUGAGAACUAAUCUCAAAUAUCAAACUGAGACAUUAAAGGGUUAAACAAAAUUGAUUGUCAACAAGAAAUUAUAGUCGCAAACCACUGUUCCACCAUAAUGCUUUAUUUACCAAUGAAACUGAAUAUUCAAUGAGAACAAAAAUUAGCAUGAUUGGAUCAGGAAAUUUGAUCA